UCGGGAACAUGUCUCUUGCUAAAAAAAAGUGUAAUGGAGUUGGGAAAGUGGAUUAAAGCAUCUUGCAUACCUAAAUCAAGAAGCAGCAGUUUUUGUGCAGUUUUGAGAUUGUAGAGACAUAUACUUAUGAUGUUCUUCUGUUCUUUCAUUACAAAAGCACUUUCCUUUCAGCUCCGAACAUUGGCGGCGGCAUCCCUAAACUAAGGUUUUCGUCAUAAUAGUCAAAAGGGUUCCUUUGCCUCUGUUUUUCUUCUUCCAUUUUCGAUCAAUUUUCUUUCUCAACACGAAAGCAUAACUCUUUCACUCUUACCAUGGAGCACCCAAACUUCUUCUUCGGUGAAGAAGAGGAUGGCAUGGCCCAUCUCACAGACCCGCUUGUUUUUCCGACUUUGGAUCCUUCUUCCAGAGACCCUUCGCUGGAAGACGACUUCUCAGAAACUGCAAAGUUCAUCAGCCAGAUCCUCAUGGAAGAGAACGUCGAACACAAGCCAUUCUACGACUCACUCACCUUGCAAGUUACCGAGAAAUCUUUCUACGACGCUCUCGCCGGUAACCUACCUCCUUCCCCCAAUCAACACCCCCUUGCUUUCAGUCCUGAAGCUGAAACCACCACUACCACCACCACCGCCAGCACCAGCAUCAGCAGCAACAGCAGUAACAACAAUUUUUCAGAUGAAAAUUCCAGUGAGUUGAAGCUUCCUUCUCCAGAUUCUGUUUUUAAGUUUAACUCCCGCGCCCUUUCUCAACCGUCUCCGUCAAUUACCGCCAACCAUGGACUCCAAGAUUUGGAUUUUUCUAUUGCCAAACUCUUAUCACAGAAUAUUUUCAAUGAUGUUGACUCCGUUUCCCAGUUUAGGCGGGGCCUGGAGGAAGCUAGCAAGUUUCUUCCUCCGGGACCUAACCUUGUGACUGGUCUAGGUUCAAACGGAGAACAAGCGUUCAAUAAGUUUGGAGAUACUUCGUAUGGGUUGAGUGGGAAAAAUCACAAGAGGGACGAGAGAUACGCUGUAGAGGAGGAAGAAGAAGAAGAAGGGAGAAGUAACAAGCAGACAGCACUUUCCCAUGUCGAUGAGAGUGACUUGUCUGAUGCUUUCGAUCGGGUGUUGCUUCAUGAGGGAAACAUGUGUAGCGAAAUCAAUUCUUUGCCAGGUGGAGCAGUGAAGGUUGAUGAAGCAGAUGGAGGGAAGAGUCGUUCAAGGAAAAAAGGGGGGAACAAGGAAACAGUUGAUUUGAGGAAUCUUUUGCUGAUGUGCUCACAAUCUGUGUAUGCCAAUGACAACAGGACGGCCAAUGAAUUGCUAAAGCAGAUUAGGCAACACUCUUCUCCCUUUGGAGAUGCAUCACAGAGGUUGGCUCAUUACUUUGCCAACGGCCUUGAGGCACGCUUGGUUGGGGAUGGUACAGUUGCACAGGGCAUGUAUUCUUUUCUGACCUCUAAGAGGAGCUCUGCUGCUGAGUUUCUCAAGGCUUACCAGGUUUUCCUUUCCGCUUCCCCUUUCAAGAAGUUUACAUAUUUCUUUGCGAAUAAAAUGAUUAUGAAAGCAGCUGCAAAGGCAGAAACCAUCCAUAUUAUUGAUUUUGGCAUCCUAUAUGGUUUCCACUGGCCAAUUCUUAUUAAGUUUUUAUCAGAUAGAGAGGGUGGUCCUCCCAAGCUGAGGAUCACAGGGAUAGAGUUUCCCCAACCAGGCUUUCGUCCCUCUGAAAGGAUUGAGGAGACGGGUCACCGUCUUGCUAACUAUUGUAAGCGUUACAAGGUUCCCUUUGAAUACCAUGCCGUAGCAUCAAGGAACUGGGAAACUAUUCAGGUGGAAGCCCUUAAAAUUGAGAGCAAUGAGUUUGUUGCUGUCAAUUGUCAUAUGAGGUUUGAGAAUUUACUGGAUGAGUCUAUUGAAGUGGACAGUCCUAGAAAUGCAGUCUUGCAUUUGAUCAGGAAGAUAAAUCCAAAUAUUUUUACUCAGUCCAUCACUAAUGGAUCAUAUAAUGCUCCCUUCUUUGCCACAAGGUUUAGGGAGGCUUUGUUUCAUUAUUCUGCUAUUUAUGAUAUGUGUGACACUGUCAUGCCUCGAGAAAACGAAUGGAGGUUGAUGAUUGAGAGAGAGCUUUUGGGCCGGGAGGCUAUGAAUGUUAUAGCAUGCGAAGGUUCUGAGAGAAUUGAAAGGCCCGAGACAUACAAACAGUGGCAGGCUAGGAAUACAAGGGCUGGCUUCAAGCAGCUCCCACUGAAUCCGGAAUUGAUGACCAAGUUUAGGACCAAGUUAAAGGAAUGGUACCACAGAGAUUUUGUCUUUGAUGAAGAUAACAAUUGGAUGCUUCAAGGUUGGAAGGGCCGCAUUUUGUAUGCUUCUACUUGUUGGGUGCCGGCAUAAUGAAUGUUACUGAAGUGGGUUCAGAACUCAUACUAGACUAAAGGUUCUGGUACCUACUUGCUUCACCUUCAGGUGCUGUGAUGAAGAUUGUACCAAAAUUUGCACCGUGUUACUUGGUAAAAUUAUGGCUUGACUUUGCUUGUAGGAUAGAGACUUGUGAAAAUCAUGCAAUUUCUAUGAUGUACCUCAAGAACUUGAAGUUGAAGAUCGAAAGGUGGUUUGGUAUCAUCAUUGAUUAAUAAAACAAGCAAAGUUACUGUACUAGAAAACUAUUUUAUCUAUUAUAGUUCAUUCUAUUUGACUUUUGAACAAACAAACACUUAAGUAUGGUUGCUGCAAGUUUACUUUGUCUGAGGCAAUCACUAUCAGCAGAGGUAUCUUAACUACAAUCUUGAUGAAAGUGUAAUUUUCAUAUUAUAAAUGCUUUAUCUGCAUA